GAUGAACGCUAGCGGGAGGCCUAACACAUGCAAGCCGAGCGGUAGAGUCUCUUCGGAGACUUGAGAGCGGCGCACGGGUGCGGAACACGUGUGCAACCUGCCUUUAUCUGGGGGAUAGCCUUUCGAAGGGAAGAUUAAUACCCCAUAAUAUACUGGAUGGCAUCAUCUGGUAUUGAAAACUCCGGUGGAUAGAGAUGGGCACGCGCAAGAUUAGAUAGUUGGUGAGGUAACGGCUCACCAAGUCAGCGAUCUUUAGGGGGCCUGAGAGGGUGAUCCCCCACACUGGUACUGAGACACGGACCAGACUCCUACGGGAGGCAGCAGUGAGGAAGAUUGGACAAUGGGUGAGAGCCUGAUCCAGCCAUCCCGCGUGAAGGACGACGGCCCUAUGGGUUGUAAACUUCUUUUGUAUAGGGAUAAACCUAGAUACGUGUAUCUAGCUGAAGGUACUAUACGAAUAAGCACCGGCUAACUCCGUG
rnacentral:rRNA from 1 species